rnacentral:lncRNA from 1 species
GAUGAGGCAAGUCGUUACAGGCCAGUGAACGGUGAAGAUGAGUGAAUCCCAAUCAGCCAAAGAGACAUCAGUUCGGACGACAUCAAACAUCAACCUGCGGGACCACACAAUUUCGUGGUGACGUCGUCGGUCGACUUGGUAGACGUCAAGCGACGAUUUUGAUGGUGUAGGAGUCGACGAUUGAAAUUUUAAGCGUCUCAUUGGCUGCUUUCUGCUACAUCUGCUUCGUCAGCUUCUCCGCAAAUGAUUCAGGAUUCUCCCUCCUUUUCCGGAAAUUCUCUCACCUGAUGAAUAUUGGCUAAAAUCUUUGCUCAGCAAAUAUUUUCAUGUCGAGCACCGAAAACGGAAUUAGCCGAUCCAUCUGACUCCGUCCGUCCUCCUUUAAUGGCGGAUUGAACAAGCCGACGAGAUUUCAGCACUACGCUCAUUACCCGACAAUUCACUGAUGCUGGGCUGGAUGCGUGAAUGGCGGUGUCGACGGCAGAAUAUCCGCAUUCCUGUAAUCAUCAAUUUGUUGCGGCUAACCGGAGAAUGGGAAGAAGAGGGAGAAAGAGAAGAAACCAAAUUCACCGAAAAUGGACAUCUAAUCAAACUGGUGUUAGAUAAUACAUUUUCGAUAGUUAACUGUAUCGAACGUUUUGCCUUCUAGAAGAUGAAGACUAUUUCAAAACAGACACUGACCGUGUCCGCCGCAACGGCAGCGAAUCGUUGGCGAUUGUCGAGUCCCAUUCGUUCACUUCGGGGCGUGGAACAGCGAUUGAGGAUUUUGUGGCGAAAGUAUUUGUAUCAGGUGGUUUAUGUGCAGCUCAACAAUAGGGGUGACGUUGGCUCAAGCAGCAACACUCUCAAGUCUCAACAGCCAGGAGCGCCGGAUAGCGGAGGCUCGUUAUCGUCUCUGGCUCUCGACCGUUGUGGAAAGUGUCACCAGUUUCUCUUUUCCCGCACGGAAUCGAUUCUUCUGAUUGGGUCGAUCUACUACGCAAAAACGACCAACAACAUCAGUAGCCGGCGCAGUAACGUUAGAAAACUUCCAGGAACUCCACCCAGACCUGAACCUUUGGCUGUUUCCGAUUGGUAGACCACGCAAUCUCCAGCCACUUUGGAGAUUUAUCUCGCAUGUCGGACAUGUCAUGGGAGAAGGAACUGCUUUCUCCGAGGCACCUGGUGGAGAAACUUCGUACUACCUCAUGCAAACUCAUUUCCUCUGUCGUCUGCUAUCUUCAAGCGUGGCCGACUGGCCGUGGCUUUCAAGUUUCAACAUGGUGGUACGAUCACUCUCGUUCGUGUUCUUUUGUGGAUAUUAAAAAUGUCAAGUAUCUUUUUUUUAUUACUGCAUUUAAAAUUGUAACACAGUGACGCUGUAGUUGUGUAUUUCUCUAAAGUUUCCACAUGUAAGACUAGAGUAGAUUUUUCAUCAAUGGGGGAGGGGGGUCCGAGCGAUCACUUUGCUUGUCAACUUGGCAAUUCUUUCGAUAUUGUUUUUGCUUUUAUUAAAAUUUAUUUUCAAAAGAGUAAAUUGUGCAGAAUGAAUGAGCCAAUGGCAUCUCCCUUUCAUUUACUGGAAAUGCAGUUAUUGUAAACAAGUCAAGUUAAUGUGUCGUUGGAUGAUUUCAUUUCCAUGAAGCUGCAAAUAAUGGCAUUUAUCUAUUUCAAAUCUAUUUAGGCUUCCUCAUACUGAUGUUUUUGAUUUGGAGUGGUGGUGUCGUGGAGAUCUUGUUGCCUGAUCUUGUUUUGGAUCAUUUUGGUCACAUUUUCUUAGGAGAAACUGGAUCGGAAAAAUGGACAGCCUAAAGAAAGCAUCCAGGUGAGCCAAACUGGCAUGACUCCUGAUUGAAGACGAGCGGCAACUUUGUCCCGUUGGAGAUUGGCUGGUUGCCAUGAUUGAAGCCGAAGUCUAGUGGCAGUUUUUGGACGCCGCCCAUGGAAAGAAGAAUUCUUGCUUUAACAAUUUCAUGGCACUAUUCUCACAUUUUAGCAUUGCCUACAUUCAAGCAGUGUCCUUAACAUCGGCUGCGUUGACUGAAUGGGUGUGGUUGACCGCCAUGUUUUGCAGUAGAAUGGCACCGUCCGUUUGUACCUGAUGUCAGUGAGGUUCCACGACGAGAAAGAGAGGCCGAUUAAAUGAGGUUUAGUGUUUUAUGGUCGCGAAGUUGCUGUCCGAUGUGGCACGUUGUUGAAGCCUAUGCUGGUGAAAGAUCUUUCUACAUAAAGUUCAAUUGGCCGUUCCUUGGUGCAGAUGUUGUGUUACCGAAGUUGCAUCAUAUUUUGUUAAAUUGUCAUCGUGACUAUUGCAGUUUACCUUUUAUAAGUUCAGAAGCAACAACAAAAAUAUGGGAAGUUUUUGUCAACAAAUAAUAAACAUGUUUUCGGGAUUGGGAAAGGAAAGUGGAGGAAGUUGAAGGGGGUUAUUUCAAGUUUGGAAAAAAAGGCAGUGUCUGUAACCCUACAAACAUAUCCACACCAAUUAAUCUCCAAGCCCGACUAACUUAAACCUUCCAAUUCUUCAAAGCUCACAAACAUACACCUACCAAUUCUCAAAUUUAUACCCUAAACCACAUGAACCAAUGUUUAACCCUAACAAUGUGAUGUUUAUAAUAAAUAAAAAAGAAAAAUCUCA